CGCGUGAGGGAGGAGGUCUUUGGAUUGUAAACCUCUUUUCUCAAGGAAGAAGUUCUGACGGUACUUGAGGAAUCAGCCUCGGCUAACUCCGUGCCAGCAGCCGCGGUAAUACGGGGGAGGCAAGCGUUAUCCGGAAUUAUUGGGCGUAAAGCGUCCGCAGGUGGUCAGCCAAGUCUGCUGUCAAAUCAGGUUGCUUAACGACCUAAAGGCGGUGGAAACUGGCAGACUAGAGAGCAGUAGGGGUAGCAGGAAUUCCCAGUGUAGCGGUGAAAUGCGUAGAGAUUGGGAAGAACAUCGGUGGCGAAAGCGUGCUACUGGGCUGUAUCUGACACUCAGGGACGAAAGCUAGGGGAGCGAAAGGGAUU
rnacentral:rRNA from 1 species